rnacentral:rRNA from 1 species
UACAGAGGGGGCAAGCGUUGUUCGGAAUUACUGGGCGUAAAGGGCGCGUAGGCGGCCUUCUAAGUCGAACGUGAAAUCCCCGGGCUCAACCCGGGAACUGCGUCCGAUACUGGAAGGCUUGAAUCCGGGAGAGGGAUGCGGAAUUCCAGGUGUAGCGGUGAAAUGCGUAGAUAUCUGGAGGAACACCGGUGGCGAAGGCGGCAUCCUGGACCGGUAUUGACGCUGAGGCGCGAAAGCCAGGGGAGUAAACGGG